AUUGAACGCUGGCGGCAGGCUUAACACAUGCAAGUCGAGCGGAGAUGAGGUGCUUGCACCUUAUCUUAGCGGCGGACGGGUGAGUGAUGCUUAGGAAUCUGCCUAUUAGUGGGGGACAACAUUCCGAAAGGAAUGCUAAUACCGCAUACGCCCUACGGGGGAAAGCAGGGGAUCUUCGGACCUUGCGCUAAUAGAUGAGCCUAAGUCGGAUUAGCUAGUUGGUGGGGUAAAGGCCUACCAAGGCGACGAUCUGUAGCGGGUCUGAGAGGAUGAUCCGCCACACUGGGACUGAGACACGGCCCAGACUCCUACGGGAGGCAGCAGUGGGGGAUAUUGGACAAUGGGCGGAAGCCUGAUCCAGCCAUGCCGCGUGUGUGAAGAAGGCCUUUUGGUUGUAAAGCACUUUAAGCGAGGAGGAGGCUACUUAGAUUAAUACUCUAGGAUAGUGGACGUUACUCGCAGAAUAAGCACCGGCUAACUCUGUGCCAGCCGCCGCAGUAAAAC
rnacentral:rRNA from 1 species